rnacentral:rRNA from 1 species
UACGUAGGGUGCGAGCGUUAAUCGGAAUUACUGGGCGUAAAGCGUGCGCAGGCGGUUCGUUGUGUCCGUCGUGAAAGCCCCGGGCUUAACCUGGGAGCUGCGAUGGAAACUAGCGAGCUGGAGUGUGGCAGAGGGGGGUGGAAUUCCGCGUGUAGCAGUGAAAUGCGUAGAGAUGCGGAGGAACACCGAUGGCGAAGGCAGCCCCCUGGGCUAACACUGACGCUCAGGCACGAAAGCGUGGGGAGCAAACAGG